rnacentral:rRNA from 1 species
UACGUAGGGUGCAAGCGUUAUCCGGAUUCACUGGGUUUAAAGGGUGCGUAGGUGGGUUUGUAAGUCAGCGGUGAAAUCUCCGGGCUUAACUCGGAAACUGCCAUUGAUACUAUAGGUCUUGAAUUAUCUGGAGGUAAGCGGAAUAUGUCAUGUAGCGGUGAAAUGCUUAGAUAUGACAUAGAACACCAAUUGCGAAGGCAGCUUACUACGGAUGUAUUGACACUGAGGCACGAAAAGCGUGGGGGAUCAAACAGG